rnacentral:rRNA from 1 species
AGUGAACGCUGGCGGUUGGCCUAACACAUGCAAGUCGAACGGCAGCACAGUAAGAGCUUGCUCUUACGGGUGGCGAGUGGCGGACGGGUGAGGAAUACAUCGGAAUCUACUUUUUCGUGGGGGAUAACGUAGGGAAACUUACGCUAAUACCGCAUACGACCUACGGGUGAAAGCAGAGGAUCUUCGGACCUUGCGCGAUUGAAUGAGCCGAUGUCGGAUUAGCUAGUUGGCGGGGUAAAGGCCCACCAAGGCGACGAUCCGUAGCUGGCCUGAGAGGAUGAUCAGCCACACUGGAACUGAGACACGGUCCAGACUCCUACGGGAGGCAGCAGUGGGGAAUAUUGGACAAUGGGCGCAAGCCUGAUCCAGCCAUACCGCGUGGGUGAAGAAGGCCUUCGGGUUGUAAAGCCCUUUUGUUGGGAAAGAAAAGCAGCAGGUUAAUACCCCGCUGUUCUGACGGUACCCAAAGAAUAAGCACCGGCUAACUUCGUG